UUUUAUUUGCCUUGAUGAUGAAUGCACUGCGACAUAUCCAAGGGUGAAUGUUUUGCAAAUGGCAUUGUAUCGAUUGACAAUAAGCUAGAGGUUGGACACAGACCUGAGACUUUAAAGGGUUUGAGUUGGGCAGGACUAAGAUUGAGUACUUAGAUUGCAAGUGCAGUGACAUUACCCAUGAGGAGGAUGUGGAAGUGAGGAUUGAUACUAAGGUCAUCGCUAGGAGAGAAAAG
rnacentral:misc_RNA from 1 species